rnacentral:lncRNA from 1 species
AUGGUAGCCACAAAGAAGAUGAAAAAGUCACUGGAGUUGAUCAACUCUAGUUAUGAAAAGUAGAAAGUACAUGCUGGGGUACAAGCAGACUCUGAAGUUGAUCAGACAAGGCAAAGUGAAAUUGGUCAUCCUCUCUAACAACUGCCCAGCUUUGAGGAAAUCCAAAAUAGAGUACUAUGAAAUGUUGGCCGGACUGGUGUCCAUCACUACAGUGACAAUAAUAUUGAAUUGGGCACAGCAUGUGGAAAAUACUACAGAGUAUGCUCACUGGCUCUCAUUGAUCCAGGUGAUUCUCAUAUUAGAAGCAUGCCAGAAUAGACUAGUGGGAAGUAU